rnacentral:tRNA from 1 species
GGCGGAGUAGCUCAGUUGGCUAGAGCAAUCGGUUCAUACCCGAUAGGUCAAGGGUUCAAGUCCAUUCUCCGCUACCA